rnacentral:rRNA from 1 species
UCAAGUAAGUAAGGGCGUACGGCGGAUGCCUUGGCCAUAUCAGCCGAAGAAGGACGCGAUAAGCUGCGAUAAGCUGCGGUGAGGUGCAAGUAACCUUUGACCCGCAGGUCUCCGAAUGGGGAAACCCGGCAGCAGUAGUGCUGUCAUCCUCUAUGAGGAAGGGCACCCGGUGAACUGAAACAUCUAAGUAGCCGGAGGAAAAGGAAUCAACAGAGAUACCCCUAGUAGCGGCGAGCGAACGGGGCAGAGCCCAAACCGGAAUGGGAAACCAAUCCGGGGUUGUGGACUGCUAUCAAAUGCAUGAGUGAAGCAGAAUGAGCUGGGAAGCUCAGCCAGAGAGAGUGAGAGCCUCGUAGGCGUAAGCAAGUGCAUGGAGCAGGAUCCAGAGUACCACGGGACACGAGAAACCCUGUGGGAAGCUGGGGGGACCACCCUCCAAGGCGAAACACUGAUAUGGACCGAUAGCGCAUAGUACCGUGAGGGAAAGGUGAAAAGAACCCCGGGAGGGGAGUGAAAGAGAACCUGAAACCGUAUGUCUACAAGCAGUCGAAGACCUUUAUAUGGUCGACGGCGUGCCUAUUGAAGAAUGAACCGGCGAGUUACUUCAGCUAGCGAGGUUAAGCGGAAAACGUGGAGCCGAAGCGAAAGCGAGUCUGAACAGGGCGUAUAGUUAGUUGGAGUAGACCCGAAACCACAGUGAUCUACCCAUGUCCAGGUUGAAGCACAGGUAAAAAUGUGUGGAGGACCGAACCAGUGAGCGUUGAAAAGCUUUUGGAUGAGAUGUGGGUAGGGGUGAAAUGCCAAUCGAACGUGGAGAUAGCUGGUUCUCCCCGAAAUAGCUUUAGGGCUAGCCUCAUGGCGAGAGUACAGGCGGUAGAGCACUGAACGGGGUAGGGGCCUAUCCGGCUACUGAACCUAAUCAAACUGCGAAUGGCUGUACUUAUCCAUGGGAGUCAGACUGUGAGUAAUAAGGCCCAUAGUCAAGAGGGAAACAGCCCAGACCAACAGCUAAGGUCCCCAAUGCCGUACUAAGUGGCGAAGGAUGUGGAAUUUCGAAAACAACCAGGAUGUUGGCUCAGAAGCAGCCACCAUUAAAAGAGUGCGUAAUAGCUCACUGGUCGAGAGACUCUGCGCCGAAGAUGUCCGGGGCUAAAGUACGGAACCGAAGCUUUGGCAAUUGACAUUAGUCAAUUGGGUAGGGGAGCGUUCCUGCAUGGGAGAAGCCUGACCGGAAGGACAGGUGGACAGGCAGGAAGAGAGAAUGCCGGUAUGAGUAGCGAAAAGAAGGGUGAGAAUCCCUUCCACCGAAAGCCUAAGGGUUCCUGGGCAACGAUCGUCGUCCCAGGGUAAGUCGGGACCUAAUCCGAGGCGGAGACGCGUAGGAGAUGGACAACAGGUUGAAAUUCCUGUACUGGCUGAGGCCGUUUGAGCGAAGGAGUGACACAGGAAGGAAGGCGCGCGUGCGAUUGGAAGAGCACGUCCAAGCAGGUAGGUCGGGAGACAGGCAAAUCCGUUUCCCAUGAGGCCGAGAUGCGAUGGGGAGCUUCUGGAGACAGAAGCGAAGGGGCUGGCACUAAACUGUCGAGAAAAGCUUCUAGUGAGGACUCAGGCACCCGUACCGAAACCGACACAGGUAGGCAGGAUGAGAAUUCUAAGGUGCGCGGGAAAACCCUCGUUAAGGAACUCGGCAAAAUAUAUCCGUAACUUCGGGAAAAGGAUAACCCAGCGUACGUGAAGUGCAGAAGCGCACGGAGCGGAGAUGGGUGGCAGAAGAGAGGCCCAAGCGACUGUUUACCACAAACACAGGCGUCUGCUAAAGCGAAAGCUGAUGUAUAGAUGCUGACACCUGCCCGGUGCUGGAAGGUUAAGAGGAAGUGUUAGCGCAAGCGAAGCAGUGAAUUGAAGCCCCAGUAAACGGCGGCCGUAACUAUAACGGUCCUAAGGUAGCGAAAUUCCUUGUCGGGUAAGUUCC